AUUAUACUGCGAAACUGCGAAUGGCUCAUUAAAUCAGUUAUCGUCUAUUUGAUAGUACCUUACUACUUGGAUAACCGUGGUAAUUCUAGAGCUAAUACAUGCUGAAAAUCCCGACUUCGGAAGGGCUGUAUUUAUUAGAUUAAAAACCAAUGCCCUUCGGGGCUCCCUGGUGAUUCAUAAUAACUUUUCGAAUCGCACGGCCUUGCGCCGGCGAUGGUUCAUUCAAAUUUCUGCCCUAUCAACUUUCGACGGCUGGGUCUUGGCCAGCCAUGGUGACAACGGGUAACGGAGGGUUAGGGCUCGGCCCCGGAGAAGGAGCCUGAGAAACGGCUACUACAUCCAAGGAAGGCAGCAGGCGCGCAAAUUACCCAAUCCCGAUUCGGGGAGGUAGUGACAAUAAAUACUGAUACAGGGCUCUUUUGGGUCUUGUAAUUGGAAUGAGUACAAUUUAAUUCCCUUAACGAGGAACAAUUGGAGGGCAAGUCUGGUGCCAGCAGCCGCGGUAAUUCCAGCUCCAAUAGCGUAUAUUAAAGUUGUUGCAGUUAAAAAGCUCGUAGUUGAACCUUGGGCCUGGCUGGCCGGUCCGCCUCACCGCGUGCACUGGUCCGGCCGGGCCUUUCCCUCUGGGGAGCCGCAUGCCCUUCGCUGGGCGUGUCGGGGAACCAGGACUUUUACUUUGAAAAAAUUAGAGUGUUCAAAGCAGGCUUAUGCUCGGAUACAUUAGCAUGGAAUAAUAGAAUAGGACGUGCGGUUCUAUUUUGUUGGUUUCUAGGACCGCCGUAAUGAUUAAUAGGGACAGUCGGGGGCAUCAGUAUUCAGUUGUCAGAGGUGAAAUUCUUGGAUCUACUGAAGACUAACUACUGCGAAAGCAUUUGCCAAGGAUGUUUUCAUUAAUCAGGAACGAAAGUUAGGGGAUCGAAGACGAUCAGAUACCGUCGUAGUCUUAACCAUAAACUAUGCCGACUAGGGAUCGGACGGUGUUAUUUUUUGACCCGUUCGGCACCUUACACGAAAGUACAAGUUUCUGGGUUCUGGGGGGAGUAUGGUCGCAAGGCUGAAACUUAAAGAAAUUGACGGAAGGGCACCACCAGGGGUGGAGCCUGCGGCUUAAUUUGACUCAACACGGGGAAACUCACCAGGUCCAGACACGAUGAGGAUUGACAGAUUGAGAGCUCUUUCUUGAUUUCGUGGGUGGUGGUGCAUGGCCGUUCUUAGUUGGUGGAGUGAUUUGUCUGCCUAAUCGCGAUAACGAACGAGACCUUAACCUGCUAAAUAGCCCGCGUUGCUUUCGCAGCGCGCUGGCUUCUUAGAGGGACU
rnacentral:rRNA from 2 species